UGGGGAAUAUUGCACAAUGGGCGCAAGCCUGAUGCAGCCAUGCCGCGUGUAUGAAGAAGGCCUUCGGGUUGUAAAGUACUUUCAGUCGGGAGGAAGGUGGUAAGGUUAAUAACCUUGGCAAUUGACGUUACCGACAGAAGAAGCACCGGCUAACUCCGUGCCAGCAGCCGCGGUAAUACGGAGGGUGCAAGCGGUAAUCGGAAUUACUGGGCGUAAAGCGCACGCAGGCGGUUGAUUGAGUCAGAUGUGAAAUCCCCGGGCUUAACCCGGGAAUUGCAUCUGAUACUGGUCAGCUAGAGGCUUGUAGAGGGGGGUAGAAGUCCAUGUGUAGCGGUGAAAUGCGUAGAGAUGUGGAGGAAUACCGGUGGCGAAGGCGGCCCGCUGGACAAAGACUGACGCUCAGGUGCGAAAGCGUGGGGAGCAAACAGG
rnacentral:rRNA from 1 species